GCUCGGAUGGUGGAAUAGGUAGACACGAGGGACUUAAAAUCCCUUGGGCAGUGAUGUCCGUACGGGUUCGAUUCCCGUUCCGAGUACAA
rnacentral:tRNA from 1 species